rnacentral:rRNA from 1 species
UACAUGGGGUGCAAACGUUGCUCGGAAUUAUUGGGCGUAAAGCGCGCGUAGGCGGUUACUCAAGUCGGAUGUGAAAGCCCUCGGCUUAACUGAGGAAGUGCACCCGAAACUGAGUAGCUAGAGUACUAAAGAGGGUCGCGGAAUUCCCGGUGUAGAGGUGAAAUUCGUAGAUAUCGGGAGGAACACCGGUGGCGAAGGCGGCGACCUGGGUAGAUACUGACGCUGAGGCGCGAAAGUGUGGGGAGCAAACAGG